rnacentral:rRNA from 1 species
UACGUAGGGUGCGAGCGUUAAUCGGAAUUACUGGGCGUAAAGCGUGCGCAGGCGGCGCGUUAAGACAGGUGUGAAAGCCCCCGAGCUUAACUUGGGAAUUGCGCUUGUGACUGGCGUGCUGGAGUGUGGCAGAGGGGAGGUGGAAUUCCACGUGUAGCAGUGAAAUGCGUAGAGAUGUGGAGGAACACCGAUGGCGAAGGCAGCCUCCUGGGCCAGCACUGACGCUCAUGCACGAAAGCGUGGGGAGC